UACAGAGGGUGCUAGCGUUGUUCGGAAUCAUUGGGCGUAAAGGGCGUGUAGGCGGUUUGUUAAGUCAUGUGUGAAAUCCCUCGGCUCAACCGGGGAACGACGCAUGAAACUGGCAAGCUAGAGUACCAAAGAGGGGGGUGGAAUUCCCGGUGUAGCGGUGAAAUGCGCAGAUAUCAGGAGGAACACCGAUGGCGAAGGCAGGUCUCUGGGCAUUAACUGACGCUGAGGAGCGAAAAGCAUGGGGAGCGAACAGG
rnacentral:rRNA from 1 species